UAAAGACAUCCUGAAGUGGAAACCUGGAGGUAUAGAAGUGAUUCAGCAGUAUUAAGACACUGGUAAUCUGUCGACAUCCAAAAGGAAGGACAUGAUUAAUAUUUUAGUUGCACACAUGACUGAGCAAGAAGGAACGAUACCACUCAAAUCAAGGAUAGAUGCAUACCCUUGACAUUGUUGCACUAUUUCCAAAGUUGGCUGUGAGCAAAAUUAUGCACUAAGUGGAGUACCUCUUUCAAAGAGAAUUUGGUUAAGGCACUCUAACUCCAUCACCUUUCCUGUUGCAGCUACUAAAAUCUGCUGAAACACAUUAAAAUGAUAGCGAAGAUCAAGGUACUUAAUACUACUCAUGAAAGUGCUACAAAUGCCAUUUGUCACAUAUGUACGGUAAUAAUAUUUUUUUUUACGUGUCUUGUCAAUGAAGGAUGGGAUGGUGACAUAACCUCCCUUCUUCUUGUGUUGCACCUCUGUGCACUGCAACCCUCUGGAAAAAAGAGAGCUGCCAAGAUCAGUUUGAGAGAUGCUGUUGGUCGCCAGCUGAAGUUAGAAAAGCUACGUUUAUGAUCAAUUUCCCUCUUUGAAUAAUCUGUGUAUGAUACAAAAACUUGUGUAAAAAGGGAUUUACAUUUUGGUCUGUUCUCACCUAAAAUCGAUUAGAUUGCUUCUGAAGACAUGGAUUAAACCACUGGAGUCAUAUGGAUUACUUUUAUGCUGACUUUAUGUGCUUUUUGGAGCUCCAAAGUUUUGGUCACCUAAAACAUGCAUUGUAUGGACCUACAGAGCUGAAAUAUUCUUCUAAAAAUCUUCAUUUGUGUUCUGCAGAAGAAAGAAAGUCAUACACAUCUGGAAUGGCAUGAGGCUGCUGUGUGGUGAGCGUACUGGCGCACUAUGGCUGCCGUUGCAUCAUCCAGCUGGAUGCUGCACACUGGUGGUUGUUGAAGAGUUUCCCCCAUUCUAUGUAAAGUGCUUUGAGUGCCAAGAAAAGUGCUAGAUAAAUGUAAGGAAUUAUUAUUAUUAUAGAGCACGUACAGUAUACUUUUUGUAGAUUUCUAGUAAAAUUGUAUUGAAAUGUCGAUGUAUUCAGAUUAAUUGACAAAAUGCCCCAAAAGCUAUGGAUAGUGAACAAGGACCUAAGAAAUUUUUCUGCAUUUCAUAAACAGACAUCUUGUCAGACAGAGAUGCAUUUUCAGCACUUCACAUAGAUGUUUAGUUAAUGAUAUGAAGAAAGUUUUAAUGUGUAUUUAUUUUUAUUUUUAUUUUUUUUUACUGAGAAUAUUCUAACUGUGUUAUUCAUGUUUAAAGGAUGACACAUGUUGUAUUGUUUCAGCAUUAAACAUGAUUUUUAUUUUUUAUUUGAGGAUGUUAUUGGAUGA